CCCGCCCCCAGCGUGGGUCUCUAGGUGAAGAUUAGAGGAAGGAGGGACAGUGAAAAAGGAAGGUCGAGGCUGGUUCAGAUCCACUUGGAGGAAGUUACCAAGCAGAAAGAGGCAGCCUGGGCCCGAGUUUGCAUGAUUAAUUCGGAUCCUGGGCCUAAGGCUGAAACCGGGCUGAAGUAAAUAGUACCACAGAAUCCAACCACUCCACACCCCGUUGGGCAAGAAGAGGCUGAGGCCCCGGGGAGCAGCGGGGGCAAGAAACUUUCAGGCUGGGAAGUGGACGCAG